AAGCGAUGGCUGCUGCGCUAAAGGAGUCACUUUGCAUCUCUCCAAACUGGCACACUUGACUCCAAAGCAUUGGCUUAUUCCUUAUGCCACCCGACUGCCAAUUCAUGUUACUAUGCCACUGGAGUUGGAAACUGCCGACGCUAUCAUUGAUCCUCAGAGGAGGAACUCUGGACAAUGACUUGGCAUUCAUUCACAGACUUGAGUCUUUCCCUAGCCUUGUUCCAGUGACAGUGCCAGGCAGAAAAUUCAACUGAGUGGAAAAAAAUGAGAACAAGAUGGAGAGGAAUGAAAGACAACAGUCAAACUGCUGCCAUUCAAAGUCCACCUCAGUUUCUGCCUUCUCGCGUGACUCCGGCUCCGUGCAAAGCGAGUGCAGGUGUUUACUGUAAGGAGGAGAAGAAAGGACGAGAACGUCAGCGGCCUCCUCACAGCCUGGAUGGCAGAUGGAGAAGAGCAGAAAUACAGAAACUCCAAGCAGAA